rnacentral:rRNA from 1 species
GACGAACGCUGGCGGCGUGCUUAACACAUGCAAGUCGAACGGAAAGGCCCUGCUUUUGUGGGGUGCUCGAGUGGCGAACGGGUGAGUAACCCGUGAGUAACCUGCCCUUGACUUUGGGAUAACUUCAGGAAACUGGGGCUAAUACCGGAUAGGAGCUCCUGCUGCAUGGUGGGGGUUGGAAAGUUUCGGCGGUUGGGGAUGGACUCGCGGCUUAUCAGCUUGUUGGUGGGGUAGCGGCUUACCAAGGCUUUGACGGGUAGCCGGCCUGAGAGGGUGACCGGCCACAUUGGGACUGAGAUACGGCCCAGACUCCUACGGGAGGCAGCAGUGGGGAAUAUUGCACAAUGGGCGGAAGCCUGAUGCAGCAACGCCGCGUGCGGGAUGACGGCCUUCGGGUUGUAAACCGCUUUCGCCUGUGACGAAGCGUGAGUGACGGUAAUGGGUAAAGAAGCACCGGCUAACUACGUG